CAGGAGUGUAAAACCUGUCCUUUUCUCUGCUCAUUUUUAUUUUGUCCAAAUUCUGUUCCAAAAAAAUGGUAACCAUUUCUUUUGGCUCCUGUGAAUUACAUGCUUAAGUGAGGUGAUGGGAAUACAAACACAAGCUGAUGAAUAUGUGAAUAUUACUGGUGUGGAUGUGGGUGCAGGAGAUGGCAAAUGUACUGUAGAAGACCAGCUGCCAGAGGCUUACAGCUCCCUAACAGACAAAGGUAUGGGAAUAUCCAAAUGGGCAAAAAGAAGCAAAUGGCACAGACAAGGAACUUCACAUCCAAACCUCACUCCUCACAAAACAAUCUGCAGUCUCAGUCUCGUCUUAUAAAAGCAGAAGAGGCUGGAUGUAGCCUUCAUUUCCAGAAGAGCUUUGUUGUGGUUACUCCGCUGACUAGAAACUGUGAUUCCCU
rnacentral:lncRNA from 13 species